rnacentral:ncRNA from 1 species
GAAAAGGAUUGGCUCUGAGGGCUGGGUGCAUAGCGCCAGUGCGUUCUUCGUUGGUCGGAGCUGUGCGGGCCCGUUCGUGCUUCGCGGCGCGUCUGUGGACCGCCGGCACUGACUGCGUUGUGACCCUUGGUCUGCGUGCACAGUGAACAGCUAACUCAGAACUGGAGCGGACAAGGGGAAUCCGACUGUUUAAUUAAAACAAAGCAUUGCGAUGGCCGCAAACGGUGUUGACGCAAUGUGAUUUCUGCCCAGUGCUCUGAAUGUCAAUGUGAUGAAAUUCAACCAAGCGCGGGUUAACGGCGGACGUAACUAUGACGUGGAAAAUUUUGCUUGCUGGGUUUUUGGAGUGAGUGGUCCUCCCCA